UACAGAGGGUGCAAGCGUUGUUCGGAAUUAUUGGGCGUAAAGAGCUCGUAGGUGGCCUGUCGCGUCGGCUGUGAAAACUCGGGGCUCAACUCCGAGCUUGCAGUCGAUACGGGCAGGCUAGAGUUCGGCAGGGGAGACUGGAAUUCCUGGUGUAGCGGUGAAAUGCGCAGAUAUCAGGAGGAACACCGGUGGCGAAGGCGGGUCUCUGGGCCGAUACUGACACUGAGGAGCGAAAGCGUGGGGAGCGAACAGG
rnacentral:rRNA from 1 species